rnacentral:snRNA from 1 species
GGAUAUGAGGGUGAUCUGGCUGCAACAUCUGUCACCCUGCUGAUUGCCAGGAUUGAUUUGGUUGCUCUGGCUGGCUAGACGGGGGUCCCCUUCCUCCCUCAGUGCUCCAUAUGUAUCCCUCUGGAAGCUUCGAGCCAGGGGUGAAGAAGACCACCCCCAAUAGAGGAGGACCAUUUCUUGGUCAAAGGUAUAUGAGUAGCUGCACCCCCCUGCUAGAACCUACAAAGAAGCUCUCAAAAGUGGUACUAUAGCUCAGUGGUACAUUAUGUGUUCAGCAUGCACAAGAUACUGGAUACAAUUCCUAGCA